rnacentral:rRNA from 1 species
UCUUCGGAGAUGGAAUUCUCGACUUAGUGGCGGACGGGUGAGUAACGCGUGAGCAAUCUGCCUUUAAGAGGGGGAUAACAGUCGGAAACGGCUGCUAAUACCGCAUAAAGCAUUAAAUUCGCAUGUUUUUGAUGCCAAAGGAGCAAUCCGCUUUUAGAUGAGCUCGCGUCUGAUUAGCUGGUUGGCGGGGUAACGGCCCACCAAGGCGACGAUCAGUAGCCGGACUGAGAGGUUGAACGGCCACAUUGGGACUGAGACACGGCCCAGACUCC